UACGUAGGUGGCAAGCGUUGUCCGGAUUUACUGGGCGUAAAGAGCGCGCAGGCGGUCGUUCAAGUCGCGUGUGAAAGCCCCCGGCUCAACUGGGGAGGGUCACGCGAUACUGAUCGACUGGAAGGCAGGAGAGGGUAGUGGAAUUCCCGGUGUAGUGGUGAAAUGCGUAGAUAUCGGGAGGAACACCAGUGGCGAAGGCGACUUCCUGGCCUGUUCUUGACGCUGAGGCGCGAAAGCUAGGGUAGCAAACGG
rnacentral:rRNA from 1 species